AGAUAUUUUCUUAGGUUGCUUGGACCUUCUAGGACAAUAAGUUGGUUUGUCAAGUAAAUGGGCUAACUUCAUCAAGUGUUGGGCUAUUUUGGUUGAGUUAAUGGGCUAUUUUGGUUGAAGUAAUGGAUUAUUUUCUUUUUUGUGCUCACCCACAUGUUUGGGCCUAAAAAAUGGGCUUGAGUUCCCAGGCUCCCAAGCAACCUCAUGACUUCCAUUUCUCGGCCCAUCAAUGGGCCUCAUGUCAACUUAUUACCAUCCAUACCAUAACCCACUCAAGCAAGCCCCGACCAUUUUGCGUGGCUUGGGC
rnacentral:lncRNA from 1 species